CCUACGGGUGGCAGCAGUGAGGAAUAUUGGUCAAUGGGCGGAAGCCUGAACCAGCCAAGUAGCGUGCAGGAUGACGGCCCUACGGGUUGUCAACUGCUUUUAUACGGGAAUAACGUGCCUUACGUGUAGGGCUUUGUAUGUACCGUAUGAAUAAGGACCGGCUAAUUCCGUGCCAGCAGCCGCGUUAACACUGAAGGUCCGGGCGUUAUCCGGAUUUAUUGGGUUUAAGGGGAGCGUAGGCCGCAUGUCAAGCGUGCUGUGAAAUGUCCGGGCUCAACCCGGGCCUUGCAGCGCGAACUGGCGUGCUUGAGUCCGCGGAAAGCAGGCGGAAUUCGUCGUGUAGCGGUGAAAUGCUUAGAUAUGACGAAGAACCCCGAUUGCGAAGGCAGCUUGCUGCAGCGGAACUGACGCUGAUGCUCGAAAGCGCGGGUAUCGAACAGGAUUAGAUACCCGAGUAGUC
rnacentral:rRNA from 1 species